CGGGGCGCGUCGGGUCUGCUCGUUGCGCAGCUCCGGCCCCGCCGGGCGAACGCACAGGCGCGGCGCGGAGCACCUGCUCUCCCCGCUCGCGUGCCCCGCCACCGCUUCCCCCGCAUCCCGGCCACUCCUGCUGAUUUCUCUGUCGCGGUGCUUCGUGAUUAUGCCUUUUUCCUGCAGCACCUUGGACCCCUCACCCAGCGCCGUCCACCCCCUGUCGUCGCGUGAAGGGUGUGAGAGAAGCAGAAGUAAAUUUAUCAACAUGGCCUUUGGGCUGCGACCAUCAAGCUACGCCUACCCACUCAAGUAUUCGAAAAGCCAGGCAGGCCAGAUGGCUCUGAAACAAUCUUUGGAGAUUUUUAUAAAGAACACAAAGGGAUUAAAAAAAAAAAAAGAGGAAGAACUCAUUCUUUUACUAUGCAGGUAGCUUAACUAUAUAUAUGAUUAUAUAUGUGCAGAUGGAGUC
rnacentral:lncRNA from 1 species